rnacentral:rRNA from 1 species
CAUAGCCGGAUGAAGAUAUCUGGUGAAUUCUGCCCAGUGAGUUUAACGGCCGCAGUACCUUGACUGUGCUAAGGUAGCAUAAUAAUUUGGCUUUUAAUUGAGGUCUAGAAUGAAAGGGGUACGGGGAGAUUGUCUCUUUAAAAAUUUUUAAAUUUGCUUAUUAGGUGAAAAUUCCUAAUUUAAUUAUUAGACGAGAAGACCCUUAGAAUUUUAACUAUUUUUGUUGGGGCGACAAAGUUACAGUAAACUUACUUAUUUUGGAGACACACCGAUUAUGAGAAAAUUACCUGAGGGAUAACAGCAUAAGUUUAAGAUUAUGACCUCGAUGUUGGAUUAGGGAGAACUGGUAAGUAGCUAGUUAUGUUCUGUUCGAACCCUACGUGAUCU